GCCGAAGUGGCGGAAAGGCAGACGCGCUACGUUCAGGGCGUAGUGCCCCUUGCGGGCGUGUGAGUUCAAAUCUCACCUUCGGCACCA
rnacentral:tRNA from 1 species